UACGAAGGGGGCUAGCGUUGUUCGGAUUUACUGGGCGUAAAGCGCACGUAGGCGGAUCGUUAAGUCGGGGGUGAAAUCCUGGAGCUCAACUCCAGAACUGCCUUCGAUACUGGCGAUCUUGAGUCCGGAAGAGGUGAGUGGAACUCCUAGUGUAGGGUGGAAUUCGUAGAUAUUAGGAAGAACACCAGUGGCGAAGGCGGCUCACUGGUCCGGUACUGACGCUGAGGUGCGAAAGCGUGGGGAGCAAACAGG
rnacentral:rRNA from 1 species